rnacentral:rRNA from 1 species
UUGGACCUGAUAUCAGACAAGACUACCCGCUGAACUUAAGCAUAUCAAUAAGCGGAGGAAAAGAAACUAACUAGGAUUCCCCCAGUAACGGCGAGUGAAGCGGGAUGAGCUCAAGCUUAAAAUCUCCAUGUCAGUUUGGCAUGGCGAAUUGUAGUCUAUAGAGGCGCUGUCAGUGCAGGCAUUCGGGGUAAGUUCCUUGGAAGAGGGCAGCAUCGAGGGUGAUACUCCCGUUUGUACCUGAGUGCUUGUGCGUACGACACGUUAUCUUUGAGUCGCGUUGUUUGGGAUUGCAGCGCAAAGUAGGUGGUAAAUUCCAUCUAAAGCUAAAUAUUGGUGCGAGACCGAUAGCGAACAAGUACCGUGAGGGAAAGAUGAAAAGAACUUUGAAAAGAGAGUUAAAGAGUACCUGAAACUGCUGAAAGGGAAGCGAAUCGUAUCCAGUGUCUAUAAUCUGUGGCAUAUUUCAUCGGCGCAUGUGUGCGGGUUGUGUUGUGGAAGGGUUAAUUUCGGUUAGUCCUAAGCGCGCGACUCUGCGUAUGUCUGUUGGUGCCCUGUGUCAUGGUGGGACGUCAAAGUCAGUUCGUAUGCUGCGGGAAAUGGCUAUCGAGGAGGUAGGUUAGGAGCUUGCUCUUGGCUGUUAUAUCUUGGUAGUUAGUUAUCGCGGUUGGGACUGAGGUGCCUACAACGUGCUUUGGGGUCAUUCGAAUUCUCCCUUGGUUGCCUGCUAGGAUAGCUUGCUAUGUUGGCGUGGUAAGUARGGGAUUGARGUUGARUKKWACCUKKKSYKKUYSGGRMYUUKRMSRAAWKGRRSSRWUYCGSCCSKYYUKRAAMMMCGRMCMAAGRRKYYWAMMWWWKKKSCAARKKGUWAGGGUGUGGAAMCCCCAGCGCGAAAUGAAAGUAAAGGGUGGCUUACGCUGCCUGAGGUAGGAAACCUUUCUUCUGAGAGGUGGCACUAUCGACCGAUCAUGAUCCCUCGUGGUGAAAGAUUUGAGUUUGAGCACACAUGUUGGUACCCGAAAGAUGGUGAACUAUGCCUGAGUAGGGUGAAGCCAGGGGAAACUCUGGUGGAAGCUCGUAGCGAUUCUGACGUGCAAAUCGAUCGUCGAACUUGGGUAUAGGGGCGAAAGACUAAUCGAACCAUCUAGUAGCUGGUUCCCUCCGAAAUUUCCCUCAGGAUAGCAGCAACUUAUUUACGAUAGUUUUAUGAGGUAAAGCGAAUGAUUAGUGGACUUGGGGAAGAAACUUCCUCGACCAAUUCUCAAACUUUAAAUCUGUAAGACCUGCAGGUUUCUUAAUUGAACUUGUGGAUGUGAAUAUCAAGUUGUUAGUGGGCCAUACCGGGUAAGCUGGUCUGGCGAUGCGGGAUGAUCCGAACGCAAAGUUAAAGUGCCAAAAUACCCGCUCA